rnacentral:lncRNA from 1 species
GUCUUCCUUUACAAUUAGUGAUUAUUGAGGAUCUUUCCUUGUUUAGGUCAGAUGAUCUCCUUCUGAAAUCUUAAAUAGGCAUAGAGGUUUCUGCAAAGUCAGCACCAACAACCAGAACAAUUUGAUGAAGAAGAUAUGGCCCAGGAUACCCUGACUGAGGUACUACUUCCAAAGAAGGACUCCUAUGGAGUUAAAAGUCAAAAAUUAGGUACCUAUAAAACACCCUGCCAUUUGACUAAAUGUAUGACUUGCUAUCAAGGAGAUGGAGAACUGUGUGCAGAGAGACAGACUAAAAAGAGAAGGUGGAUGUGCUUAUAGAAAAAAAUCUGUGAAGAUUGGGUGAAAGACAGGGCUGAGGAAAGAACGGUGUGAAAAGGCUUCUUCCUAGCAAUAAUUUCUUUUAAAAAAAAUGUACCCAGGGAUGGAGGUGUAGCUCAGUGGUAGAGCACAUGCUGAGCAUUACAAUACACUGGGUUCAGUCCCCAGCACCCCCCCAAAAAAAAAAUUCAGUAUCCUGUAUUCACUGUGAGGAAUAUGUAAGAUAUGUAAGUCUUCCUUUUAAAAAGUACAAAUCAGCUGUGGUGGUACAUGCUGGUAUACCCACAUACUUGGGAGGCUGGGGCUGGAGCAUUACUUGAGCCUACAAGUUCAAGACCAGCCUGGGUCACAGUGUGAAACCACAUCUCCAAACAAACAAACAAAAAACUAGGGAAACAGAUGUACGCACCAAUGCUAGUUGCUAUAGCUUGAAUUUAAUGGCACCCAUGGGCUCAAAUGUUGAAAGCUUUUUCCCUGGCCCAUGAAAAACUAUUGAGAAUCUGUAAGAGGUGGGACUUACUGGAAGGAAGUUAGGUCAUAGGGAAAUAACCCUUGGCUCCUUCCUGUCUCUAUUUUCUGGUCAUCAUAAGGUAAAUAAGCUUUCUCUAUCAUCUACUCUUGCCAUUACAUGCUACACUGCCACAGGCCCAAAGCAAUAUGGCCAAGCAACCAUAAUCUCAAGAAACUAUAAUCCAAAAUAAACCUUUCCUUUAUCAAGUUGGCUCUCUUGAGUAUUUUGUUACAGUAGUGGAAAGCUCACCAAUACACCAGUCAAUAUAAAGUAGAAUGGGACAAAGAGGAAGCUGAAGAGAAAGA